AUAACCACCGGAAACGGUGGCUAAUACUGGAUAUGACCCUCCGUCGCAUGGUGGGGGGUGGAAAGUUUUUCGGUCGGGGAUGGGCUCGCGGCCUAUCAGCUUGUUGGUGGGGUGAUGGCCUACCAAGGCGACGACGGGUAGCCGGCCUGAGAGGGUGACCGGCCACACUGGGACUGAGACACGGCCCAGACUCCUACGGGAGGCAGCAGUGGGGAAUAUUGCGCAAUGGGCGGAAGCCUGACGCAGCGACGCCGCGUGAGGGAUGAAGGCCUUCGGGUUGUAAACCUCUUUCAGCUCCGAAGAAGCGAGAGUGACGGUAGGAGCAGAAGAAGCACCGGCUAACUACGUGCCAGCAGCCGCGGUAAUACGUAGGGUGCAAGCGUUGUCCGGAAUUAUUGGGCGUAAAGAGCU
rnacentral:rRNA from 1 species